UGCUGAGACCUUUUUGUUUAUUGGAUCAGUACUCCUCUUGUGGCAGUGAUAUGUGAAUGGGCGUAGUUGAUUUUUUGGUGAAUAUUGUAAAUUGUUGUCUGUAAAGUCGAUUAAGCAACACAAUUGUUUUUGGGCUAUGUCAGGAAAUGAUACAAUGACCUGCUAUUGCCAUGUGCUUCAGUUAUGCCACAUGACAAUUUAGGUGGACAAUUUUUUGAGGUUGAGCCCAUAUUUUAAAUCAUCAUUUUCAUCUCUAUUAGUGGGCCACACACGUGCAGAGCUCUCUUACAUAG